GACGUAGCAUAGAACGGAGGAUCAUGUGAAGAAAACGAAAGAAAAUGGAUAUUUCAAUGCAAGAAUGUGUAAUAUCUGCAACUACGUCGUAGUCUACACUUUGUACAGGAACUUCAAAUAUCAUCAUGGCAAAAAAUGUUCAGUACAAAUACAUGUUCAUACAAAACAUUAAUGUGUUUUUGACUAAGGCAAGUUAUUGUGAAUCUUCUUUCGUGCUGUUAUGGUAA